rnacentral:rRNA from 1 species
UGGGGAAUAUUGCACAAUGGGCGCAAGCCUGAUGCAGCCAUGCCGCGUGUGUGAAGAAGGCCUUCGGGUUGUAAAGCACUUUCAGCGGGGAGGAAGGCGGUGAGGUUAAUAACCUCACCGAUUGACGUUACCCGCAGAAGAAGCACCGGCUAACUCCGCGCCAGCAGCCGCGGUAAUACGGAGGGUGCAAGCGUUAAUCGGAAUUACUGGGCGUAAAGCGCACGCAGGCGGUCUGUCAAGUCGGAUGUGAAAUCCCCGGGCUCAACCUGGGAACUGCAUUCGAAACUGGCAGGCUAGAGUCUUGUAGAGGGGGGUAGAAUUCCAGGUGUAGCGGUGAAAUGCGUAGAGAUCUGGAGGAAUACCGGUGGCGAAGGCGGCCCCCUGGACAAAGACUGACGCUCAGGUGCGAAAGCGUGGGGAGCAAACAGG